rnacentral:rRNA from 1 species
AGUGAACGCUGGCGGUAGGCCUAACACAUGCAAGUCGAACGGCAGCACAGUAAGAGCUUGCUCUUACGGGUGGCGAGUCGCGGACGGGUGAGGAAUACAUCGGAAUCUACUUUUUCGUGGGGGAUAACGUAGGGAAACUUACGCUAAUACCGCAUACGACCUACGGGUGAAAGCAGGGGAUCUUCGGACCUUGCGCGAUUGAAUGAGCCGAUGUCGGAUUAGCUGGUUGGCGGGGUAAAGGCCCACCAAGGCGACGAUCCGUAGCUGGUCUGAGAGGAUGAUCAGCCACUCUGGAGCUGAGACACGGUCCAGGCACCGACGGGAGGCAGCAGUGGGGAAUGUUGGACAAUGGGCGCAAGCCUGAUCCAGCCACACCGCGUGGGUGAAGAAGGCCUUCGGGUUGUAAAGCCCUUUUGUUGGGAAAGAAAAGCAGCAGGUGAAUACCCCGCUGUUCUGACGGUACCCAAAGAGUAAGCACCGGCUAACUUCGU